rnacentral:lncRNA from 1 species
AGCGGGAGGGAGGAGGGUGGGGCGCGGGGCGCGAGGGAGCCGGGCUGGGAAUCCCGACCUCGGAUUCCAGGUCCCGCUCGGUCCCGGGACUGAGCCUCAGGCCAGUUGCUUAACCUCUAGGAACUUCAGUGUUCUAGAUACUGAAUGAACGGCUGGACUGGAGAGAGCUGGCCUCCCACCCCGCUCGGACAUCCAGGUCUUACGCCAAUAUUACACCUGUGUUUACAGUUUCCAGUAAGUGACUCACUCCCUGAGAUAGACUGAGUUCGAGAUAGUCCUCGGCUAAAUAAAUAUCUUUUAACAGAGAGUGCCGCAGCCCACACCUACACCACACCUAAAUAUCUUUUAACAGAGAGUCCCUUCCCCCAGCUGCCUCUGACAGGCUCUGCACCUUGACCGGGGUGUUUCCUCAAGACGUUAGAGCCCGGGUCACCACCUUGAGCCUGCCUGGGUGGGGGCAAUGUGGUGAAAGACCCUGGAAGAACACCGGUGGUCUCUCUCUUGCCCCUCCUGCUCUCCAGAGAGGAAAUAUAAUCUAAAAGGACUGAAAGGCAAUCUUUUGGACUCUUAAAGCAUUUUACUAAUAACCGGCACUGGCCCUUUAUAGGAGUAAAAUCCCAUUUGGAUUCAGCACGACUGUAUAAGAUUAGGUCAAGGCUCACAAGACAAGGAGAAAGGACUCAUCUCCAGGGCACUUUGCUGGUGUUUUCCUCAAAAAGGAAUUUGCUUUCAAACAGACAUGCAUUCACUAAUCUCUUUUCUUUAAAAAAAAAAAAAAAAGGGAAGAAAGAAGAGAAAAGAAAGAAAGAAAACCACAAACACAGAAUCUCUUCCAACUCAGCUGACUGAGUCCAGUGGGGAUGACAACAGCAUUCAUUUGCGUGAUCCCACAGAGCUGGGGUCCAGGAUAAAAAUAAAUGUGACUUUUCAAAUCGAGACAUAGUGUUGCUUUGUUUAUAACUCAAUUAAAGAACAGGCAUUACAAUGUUAUUGUAUGAUGGCGAGAUAAUGAAGAGAGCCACAUUUUUUGGGCUACAAUAAAGCAACACCUGUGCUUGAAAGAUUGGCAUCAGUAUCUUAAGAAAGCCAGAAGGGGACAGUUCCUGAUUUCCAGGGGGCUGUUCCGAGUGUGGUGAGGGUGGAGGAGAAAAGGGACAAAAUCCUUAUACCUACCAGAGUCAACCAGCUUGGUCCAGAUCUAUACCAGAUGGUUAUGUUUCAUAUUUACUGAUAUUUCCUGUAG